rnacentral:rRNA from 1 species
GACGAACGCUGGCGGCGUGCCUAAUACAUGCAAGUAGAACGCUGAAGGAGGAGCUUGCUUCUCUGGAUGAGUUGCGAACGGGUGAGUAACGCGUAGGUAACCUGCCUGGUAGCGGGGGAUAACUAUUGGAAACGAUAGCUAAUACCGCAUAAUAGUAGAUGUUGCAUGACAUUUGCUUAAAAGGUGCAAUUGCAUCACUACCAGAUGGACCUGCGUUGUAUUAGCUAGUUGGUGAGGUAACGGCUCACCAAGGCGACGAUACAUAGCCGACCUGAGAGGGUGGUCGGCCACACGGGGACUGAGACACGGCCCAGACUCCUACGGGAGGCAGCAGUAGGGAAUCUUCGGCAAUGGACGGAAGUCUGGCCGAGCAACGCCGCGUGAGUGAAGAAGGUUUUCGGAUCGUAAAGCUCUGUUGUAAGAGAAGAACGAGUGUGAGAGUGGAAAGUUCACACUGUGACGGUAUCUUACCAGAAAGGGACGGCUAACUACGUG